rnacentral:tRNA from 1 species
GCCAGAGUGGAGUAGUGGUUUGAGCCCUGGACUACGACUCUGGAGACCAGGGUUCGACUCCCUGCUCAUCCA